rnacentral:rRNA from 1 species
AACGAACGCUGGCGGCAUGCCUAACACAUGCAAGUCGAACGAGCCCUUCGGGUCUAGUGGCGCACGGGUGCGUAACGCGUGGGAACCUGCCCUUAGGUUCGAAAUAACUCCCCGAAAGGGGUGCUAAUACCGGAUAAUGGCUUCGGACCAAAGAUUUUUCGCCUUUGGAUGGGCCCGCGUUGGAUUAGCUAGUUGGUAGGGUAAAAGCAUACCAAGGCGACGAUCCAUAGCUGGUCGGAGAGGAUGAUCAGCCACACUGGGACUGAGACACGGCCCAGACUCCUACGGGAGGCAGCAGUGGGGAAUAUUGGAAAAUGGGCGAAAGCCUGAUCCAGCAAUGCCGCGUGAGUGAUGAAGGCCUUAGGGUUGUAAAGCUCUUUUACCCGGGAUGAUAAUGACAGUACCGGGAGAAUAAGCUCCGGCUAACUCCGUG